UACGAAGGGUGCAAGCGUUACUCGGAAUUACUGGGCGUAAAGCGUGCGUAGGUGGUUUGUUAAGUCUGUUGUGAAAGCCCCGGGCUCAACCUGGGAAUGGCAAUGGAUACUGGCAGGCUAGAGUGCGGUAGAGGGUAGUGGAAUUCCCGGUGUAGCGGUGAAAUGCGUAGAGAUCGGGAGGAACACCAGUGGCGAAGGCGGCUACCUGGACCAGCACUGACACUGAGGCACGAAAGCGUGGGGAGCAAAUAGG
rnacentral:rRNA from 1 species